GAUGAACGCUGGCGGCGUGCCUAAUACAUGCAAGUCGAGCGAACGGACGAUAAGCUUGCUCCUCUGAUGUUAGCGGCGGACGGGUGAGUAACACGUGGAUAACCUACCUAUAAGACUGGGAUAACUUCGGGAAACCGGAGCUAAUACCGGAUAAUAUUUUGUACCGCAUGGUUCAAAAGUGAAAGACGGUUUUGCUGUCACUUAUAGAUGGAUCCGCGCUGCAUUAGCUAGUUGGUAAGGUAACGGCUUACCAAGGCAACGAUGCAUAGCCGACCUGAGAGGGUGAUCGGCCACACUGGAACUGAGACACGGUCCAGACUCCUACGGGAGGCAGCAGUAGGGAAUCUUCCGCAAUGGGCGAAAGCCUGACGGAGCAACGCCGCGUGAGUGAUGAAGGUCUUCGGAUCGUAAAACUCUGUUAUUAGGGAAGAACAUAUGUGUAAGUAACUGUGCACAUCUUGACGGUACCUAAUCAGAAAGCCACGGCUAACUACGUG
rnacentral:rRNA from 1 species